rnacentral:tRNA from 1 species
GCCUCUGUAGCUCAGUUGGUUAGAGCGCUGCACCGGAAUCACAGGGCCGCAGGUUCGACUCCUGCCAGGGACC